rnacentral:rRNA from 1 species
UAACCUGCCCAAGAGAUCGGGAUAACACCUGGAAACAGAUGCUAAUACCGGAUAAUAACAGAUGAUGCCUAUCAACUGUUUAAAAGAUGGUUCUGCUAUCACUCUUGGAUGGACCUGCGGUGCAUUAGCUAGUUGGAAGGGUAACGGCCUACCAAGGCGAUGAUGCAUAGCCGAGUUGAGAGACUGAUCGGCCACAUUGGGACUGAGACACGGCCCAAACUCCUACGGGAGGCAGCAGCC